UACGUAGGGUGCGAGCGUUAAUCGGAAUUACUGGGCGUAAAGCGUGCGCAGGCGGUUUUGUAAGCCAGAUGUGAAAUCCCCGGGCUUAACCUGGGAAUGGCAUUUGGGACUGCAAGGCUGGAGUGUGGCAGAGGAGACUGGAAUUCCUGGUGUAGCAGUGAAAUGCGUAGAUAUCAGGAGGAAUACCGAUGGCGAAGGCAGGUCUCUGGGCUAACACUGACGCUGAGUGCGCGAAAGCCAGGGGAGCAAACGGG
rnacentral:rRNA from 1 species